rnacentral:rRNA from 1 species
GAUGAACGCUAGCUACAGGCUUAACACAUGCAAGUCGAGGGAAACGACAUCGAAAGCUUGCUUUUGAUGGGCGUCGACCGACGCACGGGUGAGUAACGCGUAUCCAACCUGCCCACCACUUGGGGAUAACCUUGCGAAAGUAAGACUAAUACCCAAUGAUAUCCCACGAAGGCAUCCGAAUGGGAUUAAAGAUUUAUCGGUGAUGGAUGGGGAUGCGUCUGAUUAGCUUGUUGGCGGGGUAACGGCCCACCAAGGCAACGAUCAGUAGGGGUUCUGAGAGGAAGGUCCCCCACAUUGGAACUGAGACACGGUCCAAACUCCUACGGGAGGCAGCAGUGAGGAAUAUUGGUCAAUGGGCGAGAGCCUGAACCAGCCAAGUAGCGUGCAGGACGACGGCCCUAUGGGUUGUAAACCGCUUUUGAUUGGGAACAAAGAGCGCCACGUGUGGUGCGUUGCGUGUACCUUUCGAAUAAGCAUCGGCUAAUUCCGUG